UCCUCAAGUCACGGCCAUGACUCAACUC
rnacentral:piRNA from 1 species